ACUAUGUUGGGGUCGAUCACGUGAUCCUUCUCGACUUGCUCGACUUGCGCGGCCGAGGAGUGAGACGGGCGGGCUGAUGAUGUCCUUAUCGACGAAGAGAUGUGGGAGGCCCCCAUUGUUGUCUUUUUUGGAAAAGAAAAAGAGAAAGCAGAGCCUUGACAGAAGGAGGGGGAAAACAAGGAUUUAUGUGGGAAAUCAUAUUAACCGAUGGUUGACACUUAAGGAAAAGUUGAAUUUCAGAAAUGAUGCGGAAGUUGCGGGGUUUUUACUGGACUUGUAUGACAGCUGUGACCCAUUGUCAAAAGCUCCAAUCUGUUCCUUCCCAGAGGGUGUGAGAAGAGUUACUGUGAAAGAAGAAAGAGCGUUGUCAGGCAGCACAUCUUUAAUAGCAGCUGAUGGAACGUUGGUAGUGUUCUCUCUUCUUUGUGAAGGGUGGAUGAAAGAUUUUUCAGGAUAGUACUUGGAAGACUGUAGCUGAUGUUCAAAAAAAAAACUGGGGUGGAAGUUAUACGGAUCUGUUAGAGUGAGUCCAGAGGAGGCCAUGGAGAUGAUAGCCGGGGGUAAAGCACCUCCAGUACAAGGACAGGCUGAAAGAGUUAGGGUUGUUCAGCCUGGAGAAGAGAAGGCUCCAGGGAGACCUUAGAGCAGUCUCCAGUACUGAAAGGGGCUGCAGGAAACCUGUGGAGGUGCUCUUGAUUAGAGAGUGCAGGGAUAGGACGAGGGACAACAGUUUUAAGCUUAGGAAGGAUAUUUAAAUGAGAUCUUACGAAGAAAUGUUUUCCUUUGCUUGUGUUUAGACACUGGCCCAGGUUGCCCAGAGCAGUGGUGGCUGCCCCAUCCCUGGCGGUGUUCGAGGCCAGGUUGGAUGGGCUUGGAGCAACCUGAUCCAGUUGAAAGUUGGAACUGGAUGGGCUUUAAGGUCCCUUCCAACCCAAACCGUUCUAUGAUUCUAUAUAAGAAACAGGAAAGUACACAGCUAAUUGUAUUAAAAUGGAUAUCCUUUGUAGAAUAGCUUAUGCAUUUGUUUUGUUGUCUGUGAUGUCGAGCAUACACAUUUCUAGAUGAAAUAGAAACAAAAGCUUUUUUGAAGAAGAGAUAUUUCAGCUAACGGUUUGGGUUGUAUUUUCAGGUAUGGCCACGGUGAGCAGUUGACUGAAGGAUCUGCUUGUUCUGACUUUGGAGAUGUGAGAAUUGUAAUUGUGAAAGAAGAGAAAGAGAUGCUGCAGGAUUGCUUAUCAGCAGAGACAGAUGAUACGUUAGUGAUGCUAUGUUUUUUGGCAUGUCUUUAAAAUAUUUUGCUUUGAUUUUUAUUAUUGCAUUUAAUUUUGUUUGCUAGUAACUCAUGUCAUUCAUGCUCUGAUUCGUUAUCAGAAAGCAUCUUGGUACAUAGUGGUUGGUCCAGUACUUCUGAGGUGAGAACCUGAGAGAGAUUUUGGUAAUUAGAGCAAACCUGCCUGUUCAGUGACUGCCUUCCUUAGGUGUACACAGGAUUCAGGAGUGGAACAAGGAAAUAGCUAGUAUUUUACAUGUAUUCUAGUCACUUGAGUAAGCAGUUAGACUUUUACAGUAGUACAGUCUCCAGGCAAAUGCAAUUGUGUGUGCUUUAACCUAUCAAAAGAAAAAUGUUUCAUUGUUCACUGGUAUUACAUACAAAGUGACGUGUGAACCUGUCGAAAAAGAGUUUUCUGCUCGACAAGGCAACCACACAUCAGUCGACUGCCGGUUUCUUUUACUGCAGUGUCAUCAGUAAUUGAGGCAUUCACAGUUGAGAUCAGAGGAGCCUCAAAUAGGUAUGCUUGUCUGUUACUCUUAGUUAGGCUUCAAUUACCCACAAGUAUUCCUGAAUAAUUACAAUUUCAGCCAUGUCUGAGUUACCUGACCUUGAAAAAAAUUUAUCUUUUAAUGUGUGCAGGAGGACACUGAGACCUUAGGACAGUACAUUGGCAUUGCAGGGUGUGUCCAAACCCCUCGCUGAUAUGGUGAAUAGGUGAACAAGUUGGGGUUUUGAACGGAAUUCUGUGGCAGGAAAGAUAAAUACCUGUGCUGAUGAAGCUGAUAAAUUCAAGUACAUUCUUCAAGAUAGCAUUUCUCCUGGAAAUAUAAUUUUAGUUUGGAGUACAGCAGUAAUUGAAUUCCUGGGACUGAUUUGAUACAGGUGAGACAGAAAGUUUGUUCUUAAUUGCUUGCUUAUUCCAGCCUUCUGAGAUGUAAGAAAUACUGUGAAAAGGUGUUUGGUAUGAGAAAAACUUUCUGUUAACCUAAAAGGUAAGGUACAGGAUGCUUUUUUACAGUCUCACGAUAUUUAUGUGAAGAGGCUGAAUCACAUAGAAUUUGGAAAACGCUGGACAAACGAUCAGGCGUGUAUGCAGUGGUAAUUGUGUAAAGCCAAGAAAUGACAGCUGUCUCAGAAUAAGGCGACUUUUAUGGAAUAGACAUCCUAGAACGCACUGUGCUAUUCCAAGGAAUGUUUACCUACCAGAAGUAGUUGUGUAGUCUCUCUCUGAGGAAAGUAAUUGUUUUGUGUUUUGAUGUGUAAUGUGUUUGGGCCUGUCUUUAAUUCACAGUGCAGCAGUGAGGUAGAGCGAUGAUAUUGGGGGAUUCUUACUAGCUCCAGGUAUCCAUACAGCAGUCAAGUGAUGUGCCUGAAGUCAUGUUGGUACCUGAACUUGGGUCUUAAAAGUAAAGCUAAACUCAAUUACUAAUUCAGCGUUGUUAGAUGGGUGGAAAACUCUUAAUUGUUGUAGACAAUAGUAGUUUUCCUUCUGAAAGGAACAAAGGUUAAGUUAAUCUAUGCUUUUCUUUCUUCUUGUGUUUGAAGGUGUGGUACUGCACUUCCUCUUGAAGGGUGGAGAUGAAGGCAGGUAUUUCCUGCUUUCCUGGCAAUUGUGUGUCAUGUUUUCUUGUUGCUGUUACUGUUUUGGGCCUUACAGAGUCUGUCUUCAUUCUGUGCUGCUAUGUAUAGCCAGGAAAAGAACAAGGUCUUGUUGAAGGUGCUUUAUUAAUAAAUUCUGAGUUAAUAGUCUUAAAGCAGCUGUUCUAUCCUAGGACUCUUCCGUUUAAUCUAGUUUUAGGUUGGCUAAACGUGAAAUGGUAAGGAACUGGAAAUAUCAAAGAUAAUGGAGCCAGAACACUUCAACUCGCCUGCUUCAGCAGCAACUUUAUUCUUUGUUUUUUUGUCUUCGGAGUCUUGCUUGAUGAUGUCAGCUUUCAGAAGUUGCUGUUAUAGAGAAUUAAGUUGAUGGAGAAACAGUGAGGGAGUGAAGUAGCAGGGUUUGUUUCGGAAUCUGCUAAGUGAAAUGGUAUGGGUUUUUUUGAGUCCUGGCUGUUAUGAAGCACUGAGGUGUUGAAAUAAUAUGUGAAGAAAAGAAUUUACGUAAAUCUGAUUUUAAAGUAUUAUUAGCAGGGCAUAGCCAAAAGGAAGUGUUACUGAACCAUGCCCAAUUAGGUUCCUGAAUGCAUUCAGUUCUUCUCUAACACUGCUUCCGUUAUUAACCUUCAACUUUAACAUUGAGAAUGCUAACCAAGUUAAGUUCAAAUUAUUUUUCUGGUUUACGUGUAACAAGUACAAAACUGUCAAAGCAGGUAAUAAAACAUUUAUUGUUUUUAUUCUUUAAUGUUUGUUAUUUACCCUGACAUUAAGAUUGAAGAAUGAUGAGUCCAAGCAGUUGAAUAGAGUUUUUUUUGAAGAGGCUUUGGGGACUUGGGAUUCUUCUACUUCUGCAAUAUUUGAGUUAUAGGGAUUCAAAAACUCCUUUACCCCCACUUUUAUUAACUAGACAAAUUCUCAUGAUAGAACUGACUUGCCUGAGAUUUGAUUAUAGAAUGUAUCAGAGUUUUUUUGCCUUGAUUUACUAAGAAAUUAAACGGAAUACAGAUACAAAAUAAUAAAUACUCAAAAGCAUUGUAGCAGUUUGAGGAAGACUGAAACCUGUGGGGUGAGUUAGUGUCUGUCAUUAACGAAUGAUGAGUUGGGAAGCCCCUACUGUGAAGGCAGACUUCAGCUUCAGUUCCUGUCUCCUAAAAUGGUAGUGGCAACUCCUUUUAUAACAACUUUUGCUGCAUAGCUUUUCUCACAGCUUUUUUCUGUAUUGUCGAACUUUAUCUUAAGUAAUCUGUUUUCUGAGAAGUUGUACGAUUACUGCCCAGACAAGGCAGUUGUAAAAUGUAAUUCCCUAACAUGGGAAGAAAAUAAACAAUCUUGAGGAAGUUGAGCAGUGUGAACAGCUGAGGAGUUUCUUAGCAAGAAGGAAAGUAAAAGUUUAAUUACUUAUAAAAGAAAGCACAGGAAAAUAAACCCAAACCCUGAUAAAAUCACCUGUGUGAUCACAGCUUCCUAUGCUCUUCCAACAAAUUGAUUUUUGAUAAUGUGUUUUGGCUAGUCUGUAUUCAAAUUCUCUAAGUCUACCCAAAAUAUAAAAUAACAGUUUUAAUCAAGCUGAAGGAUUCUGCAUAGAGUUUUUUUGAUGUUUCUUGUUCAUGGUUUGUUUUUAAUAUUAAAAAAAACCCCAAACACCACCUGUUCAUCCCCAACAAAUCAUGAUGUGGUUAUUUUGCUAAUGUAACUUGAAAGCAAAGGUAUAACCCUGCCUUGCCUUACAGGGAAUUGAGCAGUUAGUCCAAGACAAUUGAAUAACUUAUUUUAUUGUAAUGCUAAAUGCUGAGCUGUAUUUCAGUAUUGUGGAGCCUAUGUAUAUACAUCACGAAAGCAUAAGGUGUUGGUCUGAUUGUAUGUAUUGCACGUGCAAAAGCACGGAUGGAAUUACUGUAGUAUUUUCCAUUAUUUCCAAGUUAGAAGAUUCUGUUAGGGCAAGGUACUUGCCUAGACAUACUUGGUGACACAAUGCAAACCUAUUUCAUAUUUAGGUGGUGGAGUGUCACAUUAUAACUGUUAUCCUUGUGUUACUUUUCAGGGUGACCAGCAAGAAGAAAAUCAAGCUCUUGCAUAACAAUACUGGGGCAAGUUUUAGGCCAUUUUGAUUUUGCUAUGGAGGUGUUGUGAACUAUAAAGAAUUACUGUAAGUUGUAGUAUAAAAUUCCAUGUUACUUGUUGAA